AGUAAAUUUUUUAGAAAUAAACUGUCAUUUUUCAUCCUCUUUCGAUGACCGAUACCGAUCGCCUACUGUGCUGCCCCGUGCGUUUGUCAGAAGACCAAGAAGAGGAAGAAAGCAUUUCGCUAGAUCAGAUUCUUCGCAGCAAGUUGCAGUACGAGCGUGUGCGUGUGACUGUGAAAAAUCUGUGGAAUUGUGAGCCGGAAAGCAUCUCGCUUGAUAAAUAGCACGUUUAAUUGCAGCCGAUUGGUCUCUUGACGCUCGUUUGGUGUGAUAAUUAAUCAGCAAGGAAUUUGAGGGACGUACCACGAGUAAUGGUCGGCUCACGGGUGUAUGUUGGCGGUUUGCCGUACGGCGUCAGGGAACGUGACUUGGAGCGCUUCUUCAAAGGUUAUGGCAGAACGAGGGAUAUUCUGAUCAAGAAUGGUUACGGCUUCGUUGAAUUCGAAGAUUAUCGCGAUGCAGAUGACGCCGUUUAUGAAUUGAACGGGAAGGAACUGCUGGGGGAAAGAGUUGUAGUGGAACCGGCCAGAGGUACUGCACGUGGCCCAAGCGGUUACCGUGAACGAGAUCGGUAUGAUAGGGACCGCCGUGGUGGAAGGUAUGACAAAUAUAAAAGCAAUUCCAGGAACAGUUCCCGCUAUGGCCCGCCGCUGCGCACCGAAUAUCGUCUGGUGGUGGAGAAUUUAUCGACCCGCGUCAGCUGGCAGGUACGUACCUUUGCAUUAACUUAAACAUAUCAAACCGAUCCGGGCAACUUUUCGUUACAAAAUAUACAAAAUAAUUCAAUGAUGGGUGGGAUUAUAGUUAUGUUAUUGUGGGAUAGUAUUUAAUAUUUAACAACAUUACAAAGGAAUACGCAGGUUCUGCGACUUAAUUCGGCUUACAGCAUACUUUUCGUAUCUCUGCAAGAGUAGAAUAAUUUAUUUAUGAAUAAAAAAAAAGAGUAGAAUAAUUUGUAACAGGCCAGACGAGUUUCUAUAGUCAAUGCGUUACCGAUAAUUCACUCAUUGAUUGUGAAAUCUAUUCAUAAAAGAAGGCAUUUAGGGUUUUAAUGACGCCUUUUUGCAUUUUAACCUAGAAUUUGGUGUUUGUUUGUAACUCUAACUAACGAAUGGAAGGUUUGUGUUUUUUGUGCUAUUGUCUACAUAGCCGAUUGAUAGUCCAAUUUUGCUAUUCAAAUUGAUUGUUUGGAGAUUUCUAUUAAGAAUUAAGCUUACAAGUUGACUCUACUAAUCACACUUAUUAUAAUGGACAAUUCACGAAUUAGUAACUUUAUUCAAACAGAUUUAAUACGUUAAUACAACUAAGCGAAUGAUUGAUUGACUAAUAAUUUGGAUGCCUAUUUUGAAAAUCAUCAUAAAAAGAAAAAAUGAUGGCUAAAAAUAUUCGGCAAACUAACGAAUUGGAUAACAUUUCCUAUUUCUACCACUGCCAAGCGCCUGAAUGUGUUCUUACUGAAAGGUAGUGAAUACUGUGCAUUUGGAUAAAAAAUCAUCUGUUUUUCGAAAGCUAUUCGAUAUAGCAUGGCUAUCAUAUUGUCAGUUACUUUUUUGAUACGCACAUGCACUGCAGUAUGUUGAGUGAGUAAAGCAAAAUUUUAUUCUUCAGGAACAUUGUAAAAAUGACCGUAGGCAAUAAUUUAUAUCCUAGAAGACGGCGUAACAAAUUGAAGUAAAUGUAGUAAAAUUGUAUAUGUAUUAUAUUCUCUUUCUGUUAAGGCGGCUGCCCUUAUUUCAUGAUGAGAGAGGUCAUAGAGUCAUAGGGUUUACACAAUAAACUGUGUGGUAGCGCCAGUUGAUGAAUGCAACACUGCAAAUGUGACUAGGGAGCAAGCGAUGAAACGAUCGGAUGAGGGAACUCUGGUAUAGUGGAUCAGCAACUGUGUGAAGGACGAUAGCCCCGAUAUGCAGGACCUUUCCUUUGGUUGUCCAGCAAUAUUGAAUCAGCAUGAUAAUACUACUAUGGAAGCAACAUCAAGUGCGUGUGCGGCAAACACCAUCACCACCAGGGUGCACAAUAUACGUUGGCGUAUGGUUUGAUGACCGAACAUGGAUUCAUGGCUCUAACCACUUCAAGUCGCGCGUGAUACGAUCAUCGUACAUACAACUCCGGAAUAAGUGCCAGUUUGUGAGGAGUUAAUUUCGAGAUAAGCCUAUGACGAUCGCUGAUAUGAAGGCGGGAAAAAGAUCUAACAAACACCAGACCACCUCUAUUCGUCCCAGUACAACACAGUUCGGCCACGGUUUUCUGGAUACAUGAAGUUGAUGAGGACAAUGGAGCGCACGCACGGACAAGUUGUGUUGUCCAACAGCAAAGCAAGCCAUUCCAAAAAAGUACCGUUGAAGUUCCAUUAGCUUUUUAUUUCCUUCUUUUCUUUCUUACACAAUCUCUUCCUACCUUUUUAUCGAUGGUACACUAAUUCUUGAAAAUUUUUCACAUUGAUUAAUUUUGAAGAUUUGUGCGCGAGGCCCAAGGAUCGAUCGGCUGCUGCCCCUUGGUCUGGUCUGGUCGUCUGAUGACGAGCGUAGGAAGGGAUGACGUUGUGGAAGUCUGGCUCUCAAAACGUGUGACCGAUGAACUUUCGAACGAACGAUAUUCGCCUUCGAUCGACCGUGCAAUAAGACAGCGCAGUCCGAAUUUGGUUGAAGGAUUCCUCGGCCUUUGCGUGAGAUGAUGAUGCAAUUCUACUCUCUUCAAACCCCGAACGGAAAACAAGCUUCAACCGAGAUAGGGAGUGACUGUGGUGGACUCGGGCAACUAACUCAGCUCCCAUGAUGAUGAUGGUGCUUGUUUUCUUCAACUGGUUUCCUAACCGUGUGCAUAACAGCAGUCCCCUACGGCAUACAAUAAGGCAUAAUGCACCGCCAACCCUGGAACUUCGUCACGAUUGCGCGUUCGUCAUGUUCGCCCCUUGGGACGAAUCGCUUCUGGACAAUCUCUGUGACAACGCCAGAUGAUGAUAAUGAUGCAAAUGAUGUCUUUAAGAAAAAAAAUCUCGCCUCUGUGAUGUUCUCCGCUGCAAAUGAUCCGAUGAUUGAAGCCCUCUAACUAGUGUAUCGGGACAGGAUGUAGUCCUGAUAUGAUGAUGAUGGACCAAAGAAGGAAGCGAACCUUUCCUCGCGGCGCAAAUGGAAGAUGCGACUCGGGCCUAAUCUCUUGGAACCUCGGCGAUGCCAUCUCUGGGAUCCGUCCACAUCCGUACGCGCGUAGGCGUGUAUGCUCUAUUCCUUUUUUCUUUUCUAUUUUCAAGCUUUGACUGCUUUCUUCCCCCGCCAAAUGCGUAUUUCAAUCCAUUUCAUCCUCUCGAGAACAUGGACAUACACACACACACUCCUCAUGGAUCGAUGCUGGCUGCAGAGAAAGACGACACUCUAUAGCAUGAUGCGAAGUUUACUCAACCGGGGAUGAUGGUACCUGUGUGUGCGUGUGUGUUGAUCGAAAGCUCCUUCGUAUCUCAUCGCCCAUUCUUUUAACCACAAUGGCAAAUGGCACGCGCGCAACCCCAUUGCGCAUUCUUCCUUCUCGAUGAGAGUGUUGUGUUGGUCGCACGUUUUGGAAGAUGAUCAUUUCGUCAGCGGAACACAGCCGAUCGCGUCGCGUCGUAGUAACAUGAUGAUGAUGUUUGCGCGUUAAUAGGGACUCCUUUCAUUCGCUGCUAUGGGUCGCAAAGAAGGCGGAUGCUGCCCAUCACAGAAGAGAUCUGAAGCGUGUUACGUGCAGGAUUUAAACGCUCCACCCCUCCUUUGGCAUUUUGACGAUGGUGUUUGCAGCACAGUGUAACGGCCAUGCCCGCGCUCCAUAUCCACACUUAAACACACACAUGCAUGAGGAUGGGAGGUCAAAUCGGUGAUUCUGAGAGAGAUGAUAAAGGAAAGAUGAUGAUUCGUUGACUGUCCCAAAAUACCAAAACACUGUGUGUGCCCGGCCGCCAAGGAUUUGAAGGACUAUAUGCGUCAAGCUGGAGAAGUAACUUAUGCCGAUGCCCACAAGCAGCGUAAAAAUGAAGGCGUUGUAGAGUUUGCAACUUUAUCCGACAUGAAAACUGCUAUUGAAAAGCUGGAUGGUACCGAGUUGAACGGACGGCGCAUUCGUCUGGUCGAGGAUCGUGGACGCAAUGGACGCAACGGACGUGGUCGUUCGCGAUCCUCUAGCAGUCGUUCUAGAUCACGGUCGCGUCGUCGUUCGCGUUCCCGUUCUCGAUCGCGCCGCUCGUCGCGCAGCAGGUCCAAGUCUCGCAGCCGAUCGAAAUCAAAGAAUGGAUCGAAAUCGCCGGAAAAAUCCCGCUCACGCUCUCGCUCAAACAAAUCGCGUGAUAACAGCAAAUCAAAAUCACGUUCCCGCUCGCCGAAACGCGAUCGCGAUGAGUCCCGCUCCCGCUCACGGUCACGUUCCAAGUCCCACUCGCGCUCGCGCUCCAAGUCUAAGGAUAACAAAUCGCGUUCGCGUUCCCGCUCCCGCUCCCGCUCGCCCCGUUCCCAUUCACGAUCGCGUGAUCGCUCGCAGUCGCAGGACAAGUCGCACGACAAGUCCCGUUCGACCUCACCCAAAAAUAACGAUCACUCUCCGGAGCGUAAUGAAAGUAUGGAGGAUUGAGGCGCAAAGCAUAGGCGUUCUACUUUUAAACAAACACCUGUUUUGUAACGACGAAGGACAAAAGGCGACGGAUGAUACGUUGGCAAAACUUGCACCUCUACUUUAUCCAUUUUAAAAUAUUAAUUAUACGCAUUAAUCAACCAUACAUGCAUACCUCGACGAUUUAUUAUCUCCCGCUCGGUGAGACAGUGGUUCUUGCGAAUGUCCACUCUACAUUAAACAUCCAAACAGAAGAAUCUAGGUUUCUAAUAAACUACUGGCGCGUAUAUGGUAUCGCUUGGGCCAUCCCAUGGGAAAAAAUAAUAGAAGCAAUACCUGUCUGGAAAGUUAAUUUGCUGUAUUCUAAAACUGGCGAUUAUAUGACGAUGAUGUUGAUGCCAACCACUCGUCUCGUUUUCCAUGGCGGGAUUGCAGCGGUAUGUAGAAUGUAUAAUUAACUGAUUUUUCAGUAGGAUGGAUUUUUUUUCUCCUUUUGGUAAUACUAUCUUAGAAAGCAGACAACGAAUAGAGUGUGGCUCUAUUUUUGUCUGCGCACAGAUAAAUGUAGUUGGUACGGCAACGGUGAAAAUGGUAGAAUAUUAGGUUUCUUCUGAGUAGUAAAAGUCAGUCAUACACUACGCAGAUUCUGUACUUUUUCUAUAAGCUGGCUGAAACCGAUUAAUGAUUGAUGAUUUUACAUGUCCAAUAAUAAAGUAAAGCACACGAGCAUCCUGAAUAAAUCAGGUUUGUCUGAAAAUAAUACACUGUUUGGCGUUUGGAUUUCUUGAGCACCUCAGACAAACAGUACACAGAAAUUUAUGUUUGCACGCGGUUAGGUGGUUCAUCCUACCAAGCACGUUGCUAGCUAUCCUACAACAUUCUCCGUAGGAAACGCAUAGAAAAUCCUCCGUUCUGCUUUUACUACUAUUUUGUCUGUCCUUUCAUAAAAUGUAUGUACAAAAUAAAAUACAAAAUAAAUAUUUGAGUAUCAACUGCAA